rnacentral:misc_RNA from 1 species
UUGAUUCAAGAGUUAUGUGCUGGCUCUCUUGUGGAGCAGAUUGUGCACUCUCUCAAAUCUAACUCUAUUCACCUGUGCAUACUUGGUAGGCAAGUAUAGAAAUUGGGAACGCAGUUGCCAUGUAUAAUUGCYUAUCGUCUUUACAUACACAUUUUUGAAUGCCAUGAAUUGUAAUUGAAACAAAUAUAA